CCUACGGGUGGCAGCAGUGAGGAAUAUUGGUCAAUGGUCGGGAGACUGAACCAGCCAAGCCGCGUGAGGGAUGAAGGUACAGAGUAUCGUAAACCUCUUUUGUCAGGGAACAAAGGCGGGGACGUGUCCCCGGAUGAGUGUACCUGAAGAAAAAGCAUCGGCUAACUCCGUGCCAGCAGCCGCGGUAAUACGGAGGAUGCGAGCGUUAUCCGGAUUUAUUGGGUUUAAAGGGUGCGCAGGCGGUCUGUUAAGUCAGCGGUAAAAGCCGGGGGCUCAACCCCGGCCUGACGUUGAAACUGGCAGUCUCGAGUUGGAGAGAGGUAUGCGGAAUGCGCGGUGUAGCGGUGAAAGGCUUAGAUAUCGCGCAGAACUCCGAUUGCGAAGGCAGCAUGCUGGCUCCACACUGACGCUGAGGCACGAAAGCGUGGGUAUCGAACAGGAUUAGAUACCCCUGUAGUC
rnacentral:rRNA from 1 species